ensembl:lncRNA
AGUGCGGAGGGGCAGGCGGGGCCUUCUGGACCACACGCCGCCCUCGCCGGGGUUCUGGGUUUGUUCCGAGGCAUCUCCUUCCGAGCCCCUCGUCCAUCCUUCGAGAAGGGGGCUGACUCGUCUUCCUUCCGCUCAGUGCACACGUCCGCCAGCUCUUCUGACUUGGUGAGAGUGAUUUCCCAGCGAUUGCUUCGGCCGGUACAACCAGAGAACAGGAUUCUUUUCUUUUUGGCUGCUAAAUGCCUCUGUAUUCCACACUUUCCAGUGAGGGGAGAAGGCUGGAGCUUCUUGGAUGAUGAUGGAUAUUCCGCUGGGCAGGAUGAGGGCAGAGUGUGUGACAUCAACACCACAAGGGUAAGAGCUGCCUGUCUGGUGUUUUCUCUGAUGCCAGCAUUUACCAAAGGAAGGGGAGAAAAACCUAGUGACAGAAAUGAGGGUUAAGCAUCUGGGAGACUCUUCAGUUUGUAAACAUCCAUGGGGCAGUUGGGGUAGAUGACUGAGGAAGGAAGGGAGAGGGCUGGCCUGGAAGGACUGGGUUGCUGUGUGCUGGGAGACACAGCAGGUCAACUUUGGAAGAUCCUGUUGUCCACAUGGCCCACCCUCUUUUGUGGUUAUAGUUCACACUUGAGGAAGUGACACUCCUUACUGUGACAAGGUUCCAUUUGUGUCCAUUUGAGUUAGCCUGGCCUGUAAUGAGUGCUAUGGUGCCGAACCUGAGAAGAAUCUCGCUCUGGUCCCAGAUUGAGGACUUAUUGGCAGUACUGGGCCCGGAGACACACUUUUGCUUGAGCUAUAUAGGUGGCUGAGAUGGUAAAGAAUCUGCCUCCAAUUCAGGAGACCCAAGUUCGAUCCCUGGGUUGAGAGGAUCCACUAGAAAAAGAAAUGGCAACCCCCUUCAGUAUUCUUGAUUGGAAAAUCCCAUGGACAAAGGAUCUUGGUGGGCUACAGUUUACGGGGUCCCAAAGAAUUGGACACAACUGCACAAUUGACACUUCCUAUAGUGUUAAAAACUUUUUGGAUCAAUUCUGAUUAAUGUUGAGAUAUCUUACGUAAAAAUGAGGAUUUCUGGGUUUUCCAGGAACACUGUAAGAUACACCCAAACUGGCCUUCUGUUCUCAAAAAGGACUCAUGCCGAGUAGUCUUUGCCUCUGAGAUAAGCCUGGGUGGUUCACUGCAGUCCCAACUAGCCCACUUCAUUUGUGUAACUUACUUGUUGGUUGUUUGGUCACUGGAGGCAUGUCAUUUCACCAUGCCUGAUCUACAGCCUUCUGCUAGCUCUUUCACAAAAACAGUGUUUUUGUUUUUUUUUUUUUAAGAACAGUUUACAGAAAAAUUGUGCAGAAAUUGCUGAGUUCCCAUGUACACCCUCCCCUUAUCCACACAGUUCAUCCUACUUUUCACAUCUUGCCUUGGUGCAGUGUUUAUUACAAUUGUUAGCCAAUACUGACAUAUUAUUAUUGACUUAAGUCCGUAGUGCAUAUUAGGAUUCACUCUUGGUGUGGAACUUUCUAUGGGUUUUGACAAACACAUAGCGGCAUGUAUGGACCGUCACAGCAUCAUAUAGGAUAGUUUCCUGCUCCCAAAUGCUCUGUGCUCCAUCUGUUCACAGUCAUAGUUUUUAUUGAUUCUUCUAGAUCAAAAUGAAUAUCUUUCACUGGACCACGGGCAGCACUUAGCAUAAGGGGCUGGGGCUGUGGUGAUGACAAGACAUAGUCCCCUCCAUGGGAAAAGCUUGGAGUCUGGUGACAGUAAUGGUCAGAGUUGUGGAGGAUAAAGAGAACUAUAAAGGCAAUAAAGAGAAGGAUAAAGAUAACUAUAAGGAUAUG